rnacentral:rRNA from 1 species
UCUAGAGAUUACUCCUACGGGAGGCAGCAGUGGGGAAUAUUGCACAAUGGGGGAAACCCUGAUGCAGCCAUGCCGCGUGUGUGAAGAAGGCCUUCGGGUUGUAAAGCACUUUCAGCGAGGAGGAAAGGUUGAUACCUAAUACGUAUCAGCUGUGACGUUACUCGCAGAAGAAGCACCGGCUAACUCCGUGCCAGCAGCCGCGGUAAUAAUCGUCGAC